UGAACGCUAGCUACAGGCUUAACACAUGCAAGUCGAGGGGCAGCAUGGUCUUAGCUUGCUAAGGCCGAUGGCGACCGGCGCACGGGUGAGUAACACGUAUCCAACCUGCCGUCUACUCUUGGACAGCCUUCUGAAAGGAAGAUUAAUACAAGAUGGCAUCAUGAGUCCGCAUGUUCACAUGAUUAAAGGUAUUCCGGUAGACGAUGGGGAUGCGUUCCAUUAGAUAGUAGGCGGGGUAACGGCCCACCUAGUCUUCGAUGGAUAGGGGUUCUGAGAGGAAGGUCCCCCACAUUGGAACUGAGACACGGUCCAAACUCCUACGGGAGGCAGCAGUGAGGAAUAUUGGUCAAUGGGCGAGAGCCUGAACCAGCCAAGUAGCGUGAAGGAUGACUGCCCUAUGGGUUGUAAACUUCUUUUAUAAAGGAAUAAAGUCGGGUAUGGAUACCCGUUUGCAUGUACUUUACGAAUAAGGAUCGGCUAACUCCGUGCCAGCAGCCGCGGUAAUACGGAGGAUCCGAGCGUUAUCCGGAUUUAUUGGGUUUAAAGGGAGCGUAGAUGGAUGUUUAAGUCAGUUGUGAAAGUUUGCGGCUCAACCGUAAAAUUGCAGUUGAUACUGGAUAUCUUGAGUGCAGUUGAGGCAGGCGGAAUUCGUGGUGUAGCGGUGAAAUGCUUAGAUAUCACGAAGAACUCCGAUUGCGAAGGCAGCCUGCUAAGCUGCAACUGACAUUGAGGCUCGAAAGUGUGGGUAUCAAACAGGAUUAGAUACCCUGGUAGUCCACACGGUAAACGAUGAAUACUCGCUGUUUGCGAUAUACUGCAAGCGGCCAAGCGAAAGCGUUAAGUAUUCCACCUGGGGAGUACGCCGGCAACGGUGAAACUCAAAGGAAUUGACGGGGGCCCGCACAAGCGGAGGAACAUGUGGUUUAAUUCGAUGAUACGCGAGGAACCUUACCCGGGCUUAAAUUGCAGAUGAAUUACGGUGAAAGCCGUAAGCCGCAAGGCAUCUGUGAAGGUGCUGCAUGGUUGUCGUCAGCUCGUGCCGUGAGGUGUCGGCUUAAGUGCCAUAACGAGCGCAACCCUUGUUGUCAGUUACUAACAGGUUCCGCUGAGGACUCUGACAAGACUGCCAUCGUAAGAUGUGAGGAAGGUGGGGAUGACGUCAAAUCAGCACGGCCCUUACGUCCGGGGCUACACACGUGUUACAAUGGGGGGUACAGAGGGCCGCUACCACGCGAGUGGAUGCCAAUCCCCAAAACCUCUCUCAGUUCGGACUGGAGUCUGCAACCCGACUCCACGAAGCUGGAUUCGCUAGUAAUCGCGCAUCAGCCACGGCGCGGUGAAUACGUUCCCGGGCCUUGUACACACCGCCCGUCAAGCCAUGGGAGCCGGGGGUACCUGAAGUGCGUAACCGCGAGGAGCGCCCUAGGGUAAAACUGGUGACUGGGGCU
rnacentral:rRNA from 1 species